AUCCAGUUUUGAAAGAAAAGAUUCUAUGAAUUGAUCAAAAAAUUGACCAUUAUGUACCUUGAAAUCCUGGGCAAUUUCACGAACAAGCCUCUGGAAAGGCAAUUUCCUGAUAAGAAGCUCAGUACUCUUCUGGUACUUACGAAUUUCAC